UAAGGAAUAUUGGUCAAUGGACGCAAGUCUGAACCAGCCAUGCCGCGUGAAGGAAGACGGCCCUACGGGUUGUAAACUUCUUUUGUACGGGAAAAAAUCUCCGGUCGUGAAUCGGAGCUGAUGGUACCGUAAGAAUAAGCAUCGGCUAACUCCGUGCCAGCAGCCGCGGUAAUACGGAGGAUGCAAGCGUUAUCCGGACUCAUUGGGUUUAAAGGGUGCGCAGGCGGAAUGAUAAGUCAGUGGUGAAAUCCUACGGCUCAACUGUAGAACUGCCAUUGAUACUGUCGUUCUUGAGUAGACUGGGAGUGGGCGGAAUGGGUCAUGUAGCGGUGAAAUGCUUAGAUAUGACACAGAACACCGAUCGCGAAGGCAGCUCACUAAAUGGUAACUGACGCUCAGGCACGAAAGCGUGGGGAUCAAACA
rnacentral:rRNA from 1 species